UACGUAGGAUCCGAGCGUUGUCCGGAAUUACUGGGUGUAAAGGGUCUGCAGGCGGGAAGAUAAGUCGGUGGUGAAAUCCCAUAGCUCAACUAUGGAACUGCCUCCGAUACUAUUUUUCUUGAGUUCGAGAGAGGAUAAUGGAAUUCAUGGUGUAGCGGUGAAAUGCGUAGAUAUCAUGAAGAACACCAGUUGCGAAGGCGAUUAUCUGGCUCGAUACUGACGCUCAGGGACGAAAGCAUGGGGAUCAAACAGG
rnacentral:rRNA from 1 species